rnacentral:rRNA from 1 species
UGCCAGCCGCCGCGGUAAUACGGAGGGUGCAAGCGUUAAUCGGAAUUACUGGGCGUAAAGCGCGCGUAGGCGGCUUUGUCAGUCAAAUGUGAAAGCCCCGGGCUUAACCUGGGAAUUGCACCCGAUACUGUCAGGCUAGAGUCCCGGAGAGGAUGGCGGAAUUCCCGGUGUAGGGGUGAAAUCCGUAGAUAUCGGGAGGAACACCAGUGGCGAAGGCGGCCAUCUGGACGGUGACUGACGCUGAGACUCGAAAGCGUGGGGAGCAAACAGGAUUAGAUA